UUUCCGUAGGUGAACCUGCGGAAGGAUCAUUACCGAGUGAGGGCCCUCUGGGUCCGACCUCCCACCCGUGUUUAUCGUACCUUGUUGCUUCGGCGGGCCCGCUUCACGGCCGCCGGGGGGCACCCGCCCCCGGGCCCGCGCUCGCCGCAGACACCAUUGACCGCCGUCUGAAGAUUGCAGUCUGAGCACCUUGGCUAAAUCAGUUAAAACUUUCAACAACGGAUCUCUUGGUUCCG
rnacentral:misc_RNA from 1 species